rnacentral:rRNA from 1 species
GACGAACGCUGGCGGCGUGCUUAACACAUGCAAGUCGAACGGAAAGGCCCUGCUUUUGUGGGGUGCUCGAGUGGCGAACGGGUGAGUAACACGUGAGUAACCUGCCCUUGACUUUGGGAUAACUUCAGGAAACUGGGGCUAAUACCGGAUAGGAGCUCCUGCUGCAUGGUGGGGGUUGGAAAGUUUCGGCGGUUGGGGAUGGACUCGCGGCUUAUCAGCUUGUUGGUGGGGUAGUGGCUUACCAAGGCUUUGACGGGUAGCCGGCCUGAGAGGGUGACCGACCACAUUGGGACUGAGAUACGGCCCAGACUCCUACGGGAGGCAGCAGUGGGGAAUAUUGCACAAUGGGCGGAAGCCUGAUGCAGCAACGCAGCGUGCGGGAUGACGGCCUUCGGGUUGUAAACCGCUUUCGCCUGUGACGAAGCGUGAGUGACGGUAAUGGGUAAAGAAGCACCGGCUAACUACGUG